UACGUAGGGUGCGAGCGUUAAUCGGAAUUACUGGGCGUAAAGCGUGCGCAGGCGGUUGGUUAAGUCUGAUGUGAAAGCCCCCGGGCUCAACCUGGGAAUGGCAUUGGAAACUGUCCAGCUGGAGUGUGGCAGAGGGGGGUGGAAUUCCGCGUGUAGCAGUGAAAUGCGUAGAGAUGCGGAGGAACACCGAUGGCGAAGGCAGCCCCCUGGGCUGACACUGACGCUCAGGCACGAAAGCGUGGGGAGCAAACAGG
rnacentral:rRNA from 1 species